CCACAGAAUGCCUAAGGGUUCCUGAGGAAGGCUCGUCCGCUCAGGGUUAGUCGGGACCUAAGCCGAGGCCGAAAGGCGUAGGCGAUGGACAACAGGUUGAUAUUCCUGUACCACCUCCUCACCAUUUGAGCAAUGGGGGGUCGCAGGAGGAUAGGGUAAGCGCGGUAUUGGAUAUCCGCGUCCAAGCAGUUAGGCUGGGAAAUAGGCAAAUCCGUUUCCCAUAAGGCUGAGCUGUGAUGGCGAGCGAAAUAUAGUAGCGAAGUUCCUGAUUCCACACUGCCAAGAAAAGCCUCUAGCGAGGUGAGAGGUGCCCGUACCGCAAACCGCCACAGGUAGGCGAGGAGAGAAUCCUAAGGUGAUCGAGAGAACUCUCGUUAAGGAACUCGGCAAAAUGACCCCGUAACUUCGGGAGAAGGGGUGCUCUGUUAGGGUGCAAGCCCGAGAGAGCCGCAGUGAAUAGGCCCAGGCGACUGUUUAGCAAAAACACAGGUCUCUGCGAAGCCGUAAGGCGAAGUAUAGGGGCUGACGCCUGCCCGGUGCUGGAAGGUUAAGAGGAGCGCUUAGCGUAAGCGAAGGUGCGAAUUGAAGCCCCAGUAAACGGCGGCCGUAACUAUAACGGUCCUAAGGUAGCGAAAUUCCUUGUCGGGUAAGUUCCGACCCGCACGAAAGGCGCAACGAUCUGGGCGCUGUCUCAACGAGAGACUCGGUGAAAUUAUAGUACCUGUGAAGAUGCAGGUUACCCGCGACAGGACGGAAAGACCCCGUGGAGCUUUACUGCAGCCUGAUAUUGAAUGUUGGUACAGCUUGUACAGGAUAGGUAGGAGCCUUGGAAACCGGAGCGCCAGCUUCGGUGGAGGCAUCGGUGGGAUACUACCCUGGCUGUAUUGACCUUCUAACCCCCCGCCCUUAUCGGGCGGGGAGACAGUGUCAGGUGGGCAGUUUGACUGGGGCGGUCGCCUCCUAAAAGGUAACGGAGGCGCCCAAAGGUUCCCUCAGAAUGGUUGGAAAUCAUUCGCAGAGUGUAAAGGCACAAGGGAGCUUGACUGCGAGACCUACAAGUCGAGCAGGGACGAAAGUCGGGCUUAGUGAUCCGGUGGUUCCGCAUGGAAGGGCCAUCGCUCAACGGAUAAAAGCUACCCCGGGGAUAACAGGCUUAUCUCCCCCAAGAGCUCCACAUCGACGGGGAGGUUUGGCACCUCGAUGUCGGCUCAUCGCAUCCUGGGGCUGUAGUCGGUCCCAAGGGUUGGGCUGUUCGCCCAUUAAAGCGGUACGCGAGCUGGGUUCAGAACGUCGUGAGACAGUUCGGUCCCUAUCCGUCGCGGGCGCUGGAAAUUUGAGAGGAGCUGUCCUUAGUACGAGAGGACCGGGAUGGACGCACCGCUGGUGUACCAGUUGUUCUGCCAAGGGCAUCGCUGGGUAGCUAUGUGCGGACGGGAUAAGUGCUGAAAGCAUCUAAGCAUGAAGCCCCCCUCAAGAUGAGAUUUCCCAUUCCGCAAGGAAGUAAGAUCCCUGAAAGAUGAUCAGGUUGAUAGGUCUGAGGUGGAAGUGUGGCAACACAUGGAGCUGACAGAUACUAAUCGAUCGAGGACUUAACC
rnacentral:rRNA from 1 species